UACAGAGGGUGCGAGCGUUAAUCGGAAUUACUGGGCGUAAAGCGCGCGUAGGCGGCUUUGCAAGUCGGGUGUGAAAUCCCCAGGCUUAACCUGGGAACUGCAUUCGAGACUGCAUUGCUAGAGUAUGGGAGAGGGAAGUGGAAUUUCCGGUGUAGCGGUGAAAUGCGUAGAUAUCGGAAGGAACAUCAGUGGCGAAGGCAGCCUCCUGGGCCAGCACUGACGCUCAUGCACGAAAGCGUGGGGAGCAAACAGG
rnacentral:rRNA from 1 species